UACGUAGGGUGCAAGCGUUGUCCGGAAUUAUUGGGCGUAAGGAGCUCGUAGGCGGUUUGUCGCGUCUGCUGUGAAAACCCGAGGCUCAACCUCGGGCCUGCAGUGGGUACGGGCAGACUAGAGUGCGGUAGGGGAGAUUGGAAUUCCUGGUGUAGCGGUGGAAUGCGCAGAUAUCAGGAGGAACACCAAUGGCGAAGGCAGAUCUCUGGGCCGUAACUGACGCUGAGGAGCGAAAGCAUGGGGAGCGAACAGG
rnacentral:rRNA from 1 species